UCCCCUCUUUCCCUUUUCCCUUUUCCCGCCUCCUUCCCUCAUUUCCCCCCCCUUCAUCCCAUGGACAUGGCACGGCCACCUUAAAACGCCGCGCCGCCCCCUCCUCCCCCGAUCGCCGGGGCCGGUAUGAGUCAGGUGUGAAGCCCCCGCCGGGAGGAGGUCGUUCCUCUGCUGGCUGCAGCCCUGACGUUGGGAUUUUCCUUUUUUUGGCUUUUUUUUUUUUUUUUUUUUUCGGCCCCACCACCUCCCUCCUUCCCUCCCUCGCUCCCUCCCUCCAGGAAUCCAGCGCUGCACCGAAGCCAGAAGAGAGGGAGCAAAACCCAGCCCAGGCCGAGAGCCGCGUCCUGAAACCAAACCCGCCCUUCGCAUCGCAAAGGAGAUUUUUUUUUUAAAUCAUUAUUAUUAUUUUUAUUUUUAAUACCCCUGACCCGAGCACGGUGGCGGCAGCGGCGCCGGGGCAGGGAGGCUGUCCCGGUUAUUUAUUCUCUCCCCGCAGAGCUGUCCCUCAGGCUCACCAUGAUGUUCCGAGACCAGGUUGGCGUGCUGGCCGGGUGGUUCAAGGGCUGGAACGAGUGCGAGCAGACUGUUGCGCUGCUCUCCCUGCUCAAACGCGUCAGCCGGACCCAGGCUCGCUUCCUCCAGCUCUGCCUCGAGCAUUCCCUGGCAGACUGCACCGAGCUCCACAUCCUCGAAGGGGAGGCCAACAACCCCGGAAUCAUUAACCAGUGGCAACAGGAAUCCAAGGAUAAAGUGAUCUCCCUCUUGUUAACCCACCUGCCUUUACUGAAGCCCGGCAACAUCGAGGCGAAAGUCGAGUACAUGAAACUCUUGCCCAAAAUCCUGGCGCACUCCAUCGAGCACAACCAGCACAUCGAGGAGAGCAGGCAGCUGCUGUCCUACGCCUUGAUCCACCCUGCCACCUCCCUGGAGGACAGGAGUGCCCUGGCCAUGUGGCUCAACCACCUGGAGGACCGCACGUCGGGGGGCUUCAGCGGGCAGGGCCGGGGCCGCUCGGACUCGCUGGACUACGGGCAGGCUCACUACUAUCACCAAAGACAGAAUUCUGACGACAAACUCAACGGGUGGCAGAACUCUCGGGACUCCGGCAUCAGCGUCAGUGCCUCCAGCUGGCAGGACAAAAACCUGGCCUGUGAGAACGGCCACCUGCCCCUCUACUCCUCCUCCUCCGUCCCCACCACCAUCAACACCAUCGGCACUAGCACAAGCACCAUUCUCUCAGGCCAGACACACCACAGCCCUUUGAAACGCUCUGUGUCCCUUACCCCACCCAUGAAUGUGCCAAACCAACCUCUAGGACAUGGAUGGAUGUCUCAUGAGGACUUACGAGCUAGAGGACCCCAGUGCAUCCCUUCCGAUCAUGCCCCCCUGUCUCCACAAAGCAGUGUAGCCUCUUCGGGAAGUGGUGGGAGUGAACAUUUAGAAGAUCAGCCUUCCGCUCGUAACACAUUCCAGGAGGAAGGGAGUGGGAUGAAAGAUGUCCCAGCCUGGCUGAAGAGCCUCCGGCUGCACAAGUACGCCGCCCUCUUCUCCCAGAUGACGUACGAGGAGAUGAUGGCCCUCACCGAAUGCCAGCUCGAGGCACAAAAUGUUACCAAAGGCGCAAGACACAAAAUAGUCAUCAGUAUCCAAAAGCUAAAAGAAAGACAAAACCUGCUCAAAUCUCUAGAAGGGGACAUCCUGGAAGGCGGCAACUUGCGCGUCCCGCUGCAGGAGCUGCACCAAAUGAUCCUCACCCCCAUCAAAGCCUACUCUUGCCAAAACUCGAGCACGGAGGAGCACAGCCGGGACGUGGACUCGCACCACCCCUCCUCCCUGCUGGGCUCGGACAGCCAAGGCUCGGAGUGCAAGGACUCGGCGGGGGCCGGGAUGCAGCAGCAUCACCUGCCGGGGUGCGAGGGCGAGUCCGGGGGGGCCCCUUUGCCCGAGGGUGACCUGCCCGGCCAGUUCACCCGAGUGAUGGGGAAAGUCUGCACACAACUUUUAGUUUCCCGACCCGAUGAAGAGAAUAUAAGUUCCUAUUUACAGCUCAUAGACAAAUGUCUAAUCCAUGAGGCGUUUACAGAGCUCCAGAAGAAGCGGCUGCUGUCAUGGAAACAGCAGGUGCAGAAACUCUUUCGGUCUUUCCCUCGGAAAUCCCUCCUGGAGCUGUCAGGCUAUCGGCAGCAGAGGAGCCGAGGCUUUGGCCAGUCCAACUCCCUCCCGACAGCCGGAUCCGCGGGGGCAGGGCUGGCACGGAGGAAUCCCCGGCAGUUCCAGAUCCCCUCCCGCAACCUCCCCACGGCCCGGCUGGGGCUGCUGGGCCCCACGGGGCUGCUGGGCACCCCCCAGCGCAGCCCUGCCGCCAGCCCCGCCAUCCUCAAGCAAGGCAGACAGAACCUGUGGUUUGCCAACCCUGGGGGCAGUAACAGCAUGCCCAGCCGGAGCCACAGCUCGGUGCAGAGGACGCGCUCGCUGCCGGUCCACACGUCCCCGCAGACCAUGCUGAUGUUUCAGCAGCCAGAGUUCCAGGUGCCGGUGACUGAACCUGACAUCAACAACAGGCUGGAGUCCCUGUGCCUGAGCAUGACGGAGCACGCACUCAGCGGUGAGCAUUCCCUCCUCCUGGGGCUCUUCCAGCACGUCCACGCCGCCUCCGCUGAGCCCCCCAGCACCUGCCCCCUGCCCCCCAAAAGCUGGGACAGGCUGUGGCUGUGAGAGCGGGACGGCGGCGGGGCCGGAUGCGGGGAUGCUCCCGGGGAUGCUCCCAGGGAUGUUCAGAUGGGAAUAUUGGCUUCUCUCGGUGAGGCGGCCGGAGCGGGGGGUAAAGCCGAAUGCAGGGAUCGCACCAGCACUAGUGGAGUCUGUGCUAAUUAGCCACUCGUCAGCUUGCUAAUGAUAAUUAGUGUUAGCUCGCUACUCUCCUUAGCUCUCGAUAAAGCCCCUGCUGCCGGCGCGCUCGGAUGGGUCACGGGCUUUGGAGUGUUGUGCCCUUCCACCACCGGAUCCCUCAAUUGUCCGGGGGUGCCCCACAGCUGGGGGCUGAAUCCCUGCCGGGGGCUGUGCCAGGGGCUGUGCCACACACAGCCGGGGGUGCCAGUGGAUAAUGGGCACGGGGAGGGAGGAGGACCGGGGCAAAAACAAGCAGGGAAGAUGGAAAAGGCAGCAGCAGAGCGAUGGAGAGCCCGCUGCAGCACCAAGCACCGGCACCAGAAGCUCCCGGUGUCCCGUGCCGACGCUCUGGACCCCCAAGCACAAGGGAUGACCCCCAGUGAUGGGAUGAGCACGGCCACCAGCAUCAGCCGGAUUCCCAAGUGACCGGCUCGGGUCUCGCUGCGGAAAUCCUGGACUGUGACAGACGCUUGAGGACGGGAACCCUCGGAGAGCACGAGUGCCACCAGGAGCCCUCGGGGAGGACAAGUGCCACCAGGCCCCCUGCAGGUGCAACAGCCUUUCCCGGGGAGAGGAACAGGAGAACAAGGACUGUGGGAAGCAGCAGGGCUCUGGCAGCAUCCCUGGCUGGGAAAACAAGGACACUUCUGUCGCCCGAAGCGUUUCUCCGGCGUGUGCCCAGCCGAGGCUUAGCUGUCUUGUUCCUCUGCAGGAUGGUGUCGACAGAACCUCCACGAUCUAGAAGGCGUCACCACGGGGACGCUGGCUGGGACAACAACUGCUGCGGGUCCAGCGGCGAGGUCGGGGCUUGAGGGAGCCUCAGCGAUAGCUUGCAUCCUUUCUCCUCUCUCCUCUCCUUUCUCUCUCUCUCUCUCUCUCCUGUUUUAAUUUUGUGAAUGUGUAGAUUGUCCUUGUGAACAUAUCAUUAGACUUGGAAUUUGUGUUGUCAUUUAUUACAUCCAUGCUAAAGGGGGGGGGGAAAGAUGGCAAAAAGAAAAAUCUCAGCAACGAUGACGAGGCAGCGUGGGGAGGUUGGGGGGGACACGGAGGAGGAGGAGGAGAGUGCUGACAACGGAGGGUUCACCAGAGCACCGUGGGCAAACCCUGUUCCUGGAGGAGGAUACCAAGGAGCACGGAACACCACGCAGGGCUGUGUGACCAAAAUCCCUUUGGGGAGGAUUUGCCUGCCCUGCCGGGGGCUUCGGGGCCGGCAGUCCCGUCUCUCGAGUUCCGCCACGUUCGGGCACGGACUGACCCGGCGAGCCCAGAUUGAAACAGAAAUAAUAAAAUAACCCCAAAAUUUCCUUUCAGUUUAACCAAGAGAUCUGCAGUGUGGAGGCAGCGUUGUGCUCAGGGCGGUGCAGGGUCGGCAGGUGCAUCCUGCUUGGAUCGGGAUGCGGGAUGGAGCGGGAUCUCACCCAGAGGAGGGUCCCAGGGGGCGUCUGUGAACUGGGGGACACCGGGAGAGUUUCUGUGUCUCUUGCCUUGCCUGCACAGGUACCGGGAAGCUGCUGCAUCCUGGCUCCACACAUCUGGCCCAGCCUGCGAAAAUCCGGCUCUAAGGGGCUUUUCCAGCGUGGCCAAGGAGGGAUGAAGGAGCCCCCAAAUAAAACCCAAGCCACAAAAGGCACCAAAAUGCAGCUUCACAGCUUUGUUUUCUUGCCAUUAACCGUGUGCUGGGGGGGAGAUGGGGCUGGGCUGCCCCUCACCCACAACUGCUUUUAAGAACAGGAGCUGAAUUUGGUGUUAAAUUGGUAAAUCCGAGCUGGCGCUUCUCAGACCUGCAGUGAUGCUCCCGCCGGUCCCAAUGCUGCUCCAAGUCCUUGGAUGGAAAAAUAAGAAAUGUAAAAUCAAUUAAUUGAGUUGAUGGGUUGCAGCAAUAUUUCCAAACUGGGCUGUGAGGAUAUGGGCAGCACCAUGUGCCAGGAUCAGAGGGAGCAGGGCUCAGGGGGAGCCCGAGCAUGGGCAGGGCUGGGAGAUGUGUGAAUCCUUUUGUCAUGCAGCGUUUUUAAGUUGUUUUUCUAAAAAGAAAAAA